rnacentral:rRNA from 1 species
CGUUCUCGGGCCUUGUACCACACCGCCCGUCACGACCACGGUAAGCCGGUAACACCCGAAGUCGGUGUCCUAACCCGCGAAGGGAGGGAGCCGCCGAAGGUGGGAUUGGUGACUGGGGUG